rnacentral:rRNA from 1 species
GAUGAACGCUGGCGGCGUGCCUAAUACAUGCAAGUCGAGCGAACAGACGAGGAGCUUGCUCCUCUGACGUUAGCGACGGACGGGUGAGUAACACGUGGAUAACCUACCUAUAAGACUGGGAUAACUUCGGGAAACCGGAGCUAAUACCGGAUAAUAUAUUGAACCGCAUGGUUCAAUAGUGAAAGACGGUUUUGCUGUCACUUAUAGAUGGAUCCGCGCCGCAUUAGCUAGUUGGUAAGGUAACGGCUUACCAAGGCGACGAUGCGUAGCCGACCUGAGAGGGUGAUCGGCCACACUGGAACUGAGACACGGUCCAGACUCCUACGGGAGGCAGCAGUAGGGAAUCUUCCGCAAUGGGCGAAAGCCUGACGGAGCAACGCCGCGUGAGUGAUGAAGGUCUUCGGAUCGUAAUACUCUGUUAUUAGGGAAGAACAAAUGUGUAAGUAACUAUGCACGUCUUGACGGUACCUAAUCAGAAAGCCACGGCUAACUACGUG